rnacentral:misc_RNA from 1 species
GAAAACUAUGGAGGAAGUUUAAACUGCCGUGCUUGGGCGAGGAACCGUGUUACCCUGAGGAACAUUACUUUCCGACAUUGUUGUCCAUGAAAGAUCCGGAAGGCUGCAGUCACUACACGCUAACUAGGGUUAAUUGGACAGGAUGUUGGGAUGGACAUCCGCACUUGUACUCGCCGGAGGAGGUCUCACCGGCGCUCAUACACACGUUGAGGCAGUCGAAUUCGAGCUACUCUUACUUCUUUGCCAGGAAAUUCUCGCCGGAAUCCUUGACGCCGUUGAUGCAAAUCGCCGAUGACGUCAUUUUCCGGGACUGAAGUGAGUGUCGGCUGGUUUCUCCUACUGAGCCUUUGGAUUCUGGGGAGUUGUGAAGAAUGGAAAGAAUGCGACAACCCAACCCCAAAGCGGGAGUGAGGUUCUAACAGUAUCUAUAGAUUGAGGUGUGUGUUUUUUU